rnacentral:rRNA from 1 species
CCUACGGGAGGCAGCAGUGGGGAAUAUUGGGCAAUGGGCGCACGCCUGACCCAGCAACGCCGCGUGAAGGAAGAAGGCUUUCGGGUUGUAACCUUCUUUUGUCAGGGACGAAGCAAGUGACGGUACCUGACGAAUAAGCCACGGCUAACUACGUGCCAGCAGCCGCGGUAAUACGUAGGUGGCAAGCGUUAUCCGGAUUUACUGGGUGUAAAGGGCGUGUAGGCGGGGAAGCAAGUCAGAUGUGAAAACCACGGGCUCAACCUGUGGCCUGCAUUUGAAACUGUUUUUCUUGAGUGCUGGAGAGGCAAUCGGAAUUCCGGGUGGAGCGGUGAAAUGCGGAGAUAUACGGAGGAACACCAGUGGCGAAGGCGGAUUGCUGGACAGUAACUGACGCUGAGGCGCGAAAGCGUGGGGAGCAAACAGGAUUAGAUACCCGGGUAGUC